AUCCAACUGAUGAGUCCCAUAUGGGACGAACCGCGCGUCUUGCAU
rnacentral:hammerhead_ribozyme from 1 species